rnacentral:rRNA from 1 species
UACCAGCACCCCGAGUGGUCGGGACGAUUAUUGGGCCUAAAGCGUCCGUAGCCGGUCAUGCGAGUCCUCCGUUAAAUCCACCUGCUUAACAGAUGGGCUGCGGAGGAUACUACAAGGCUAGGAGGCGGAAGAGGCAAGCGGUACUCAGUGGGUAGGGGUAAAAUCCUCUGAUCCAUUGAAGACCACCAGUGGCGAAGGCGGCUUGCCAAUACGCGCUCGACGGUGAGGGAUGAAAGCUGGGGGAGCAAACCGG